rnacentral:lncRNA from 1 species
CAUUUAUUUUGGCUUACGUCUGAGUCCACACUCAGCUGACUCCCAGUCAGGAAGUCAUGAUGGAGGGGUCUGGGGUGGGGGGAGCAGAGGGAAGGGAGGAGCUGGGGAGGGAGAUUUACCUUUCUAGCUCAUGCCCCACUGACUGCCUGUUCCUCCAGACCCCACCUCGUAACAGCACCCACUGAGGAGCACGGCACCCGCACGAUCCAGCCACCUUCCUAAAGCCUUGCCUCUUCUGCCCCACUGCCCACCUCAGAUAAACUUGCCAGUCCCACCGCUGAGGGAAACACGGACAGCACUGUAGUUCCCCGAGGCACAGAGUCUGAGUCCAGUGUACAACAGGCACUCUCGUCAACCAGCUGCCUCCUCUUCCAUAAGCAGGACUGCCAGCUCCCCAGUGGAGGACAGAGUAAUCCCCGCAGCCCCACAGCCUGCCUCAACUCGGAUAAUUACACAGUUUACCCUGUCAUUAUGACACUCCACUUGAGGUAGUGAUUUCUAAAUCUGAUAAUAGCCUUUUAGUUCCUAAUGACUAGAAAGACCGCC